rnacentral:lncRNA from 1 species
UUUUUUUUUCGGCGAAAAAAAAAAAAGAACGAGAGAACGAAGAGGAGAGAGAAAGAGGAAAGAGAAAAAGUAAUAAGGGUAUUUUGGUCAGUUUGCUGAAAAAGCGGACCGAAUUUGCAAAAACGAAAAAGGUGGCCUAGUUUUGCAAAAGCCCAAAAUAAGUGAAUUUUUUAUGCAAAUUGGCCGUCAACUAAUCAGCAAUAUCUAUACCUAUACCCUUAUUAUUAUUAUUAAUUAUUUAAUUAUUAUAUAUUAUUUAUUAAAAUUUGUCAUAUAUGACAAUAUUGUCUUUUGAGUAUGGGUUUUUUUGAACUCAGCUCAAAUUUUUUGCAUAAUUUUCUCUUUUUUUACUUUAGCUGAGUCUGAUUUUUCUCUUUCUUUGCUUGAACCAAACCGGAUAAACCUGUUGUAUUGGGCCAAACCAAUCUAAUUGCUUCAAAUGUUUUCAUCUUUGAACAAAAUUUCCUUUUUUUUUUGUUUGAACUGAACUGAUCACUAUCGAGUGUUGGCUUAACACCGAACCGGCUCAAGUUUUUCUCUUUCUUUGUUUGAAUUGAACCGAACUUUCUUUUUUUUUUUCCUUGAAUCGAAUCGGAUCAUACCUCCAUAUUAGGCCGAACUGUUACUCUUCCUCUUCCUACGGUUGUUAUCUUCGUUCAUCAGCAAGAUGAAUCUCGUCUCUCAUCAUCAUUUCUUUCAUCGCUGUUUUCUCUUUUUUUAUUAAUUUUUUUAUUUUUUUUCCAAUUAUCUAUCCAUCACAUCGCAAGGGUUACUAUACCAGCUUUCUAUGAUUUCGCCAAAAACCGCAAAUUUAAAGAAACUAAUGCUAUGGGCCUAUGGCCUCUUAUUUAAUUUAGGGGAAACUUCAAAAACUCCCUCUGUGAUUUCGUACUUUCUCACUUUAGUACCCUAUGGUUUAAAGUGUAUCAAUUCCUCCCCCGGUGGUUUUAUUUUUCUCUUUUUAUUAUCAAUUUUAUUAUUAUUUUUUACUUAAAUCAGUGACAAAGUUAAAAAUAAAAAGUACUAAAAUAAAUAUUCGAUAAAUCAAGGUGAGUAUCUACAACUUUUUGUAUAUAAUUUAACGAAAUAUUAAGAAAAAAAUUGUCGAAAAGAUAAAAACAAAACCACAGGAGGGCAAAUUGAUGCAUUUUAAAUCACAUGGUACUAAAGUGAAAAAGUGUGUAACCACAGGAGAGUUUUUUGAAGUUUUUUUCUUUAAUUU